CCUAUUGACAGGCUAGUCAUGUGCAGAAGAAAGCACUGUUCAGAGACAAAGGCAGAAUACCAAGGAAUGUUAUCCACCCUUCUCCAUUUUAUAAAUCCCUGUUGGUCGCUACGGUCAGACUUUUGCCUUUGACGUAUUCCUGCUUUUCACCCCACAUCAGGUUCACUUGCUCCACAAGGCAAAAGGAGGUUCUGAAGUUACUUGGAAAGACACGAUAAACCCUUUCAUCUUCCAAGUUUUCGUGAACCCAUCUUGGAGAAGAAGGGUGGUAACAUUUGGUAGUGCUGAUGUCAGGAUACCCAGGAUUUCACUGUAGUAUAACAAGUGGUGAAGCUCAUGGGAAAUGCAUCAGUUCUCAUUCCGAGUCUGGCUGACAAAGAUAUGAACACUUAAUUAAGAUUUCUUUCAUCUCAUGAAAAUAGCCCUGAAGAUCUGAGCCUGACACGAGAGCUGCCAGCAAGAAUAGCAAAAGCAAAGUUUCCAGCUGUGGAAGAUCUUCAUUCAAGAACUUGCCCUCACAAACCAUCACACUUCUUUAAAUUGGGAGUGGGAUGUGGGUGCUUCCAAGUGGAUGACCUAACUCAAGCAAGAAACUCUUCUGACCCAUUCUCAUCCUUUGAAGUCCUCUCUCACGUAUGGAGAGACCUAUGGGAGGGAGAGCCUCUCUGCUCUGCAGGAACAGUGGAAUCAGUUGUGAAUGUUGCAGAAACAGUUGGCUUAGGCUUCCCAACAUGCCAUCUGUGAGCAAACAGAUUUUUUAGAUGACUGAUUCCAACAAAAUGCACAUUCUUUUUAUAUUUAUUUACAUACUUACAUGUAUAUUGAUUAAAAUCAGUCCAGUUUUGUUACGUUAAGUCAGUCUGUUGAUAAUUAAGCAUCUGUGCACGGGGAACAUUAGGAGCA
ensembl:lncRNA